UUUAUGGAGAGUUUGAUCCUGGCUCAGGACGAACGCUGGCGGCGUGCCUAAUACAUGCAAGUCGAGCGAACAGAGAAGGAGCUUGCUCCUUUGACGUUAGCGGCGGACGGGUGAGUAACACGUGGGCAACCUACCCUAUAGUUUG
rnacentral:rRNA from 1 species